rnacentral:lncRNA from 1 species
AUCAUGCUCGUCCUAGAAACUUGAAACAGAAAUGCUGUUUAGUAUGGUUUAAAUUUGAAAGUUUUCGGACUGAUGUAGAAAUUUUAAAAUUGAGGAGCUAUUAGCCAUUGAAACAUUAAGCUUACAUCAUAUUUGAUUGAUUAAAACCAAAAUAAUCUUAUUUGCUAAAAAAUUGACAGAAAGAAGAGGAAUUGAGUGAAGAAAAUGAAGCUACUGUCCACAGGUUUUUCAUCCCUGUUUUUUUUCCAAGUGCUAUAGUCGUAAAACAGUUUCUAAUGAAAUUUCUAAAAAAGAAACACGCAACUUUAUAUUCAACCAGGCCCCAAUGUCAGAUCUUCAUCCAAUCAGCAUUGUAACUGUAGUAACAGUGGCAAAAAGAACUGUGCAAGUAUAGUCUAGUGAGUUUACAAGAAUAUAUUGAAAGAAUACAAGCAUUAUGGAACUUAAAACAUUAGAUCAGAAUAUAAGUUUGAAAUGUGACGGUACAUGAAAGUUGUAAAAAUUGUCAACUUAACAUUAUAUAAUUGAUGAACAGCAGAGACUUUUGGCUCCUUUUUUUAUGCAAAAUGUAUUAUUGCAUUAGGAAUGUAUGUACUUUGUACUCAUAAAAGCAUGUUUUUUUCUUUCUUUGGAUUUGUGUAACACGUAAUUUUUUUUUUUAUAGAGCAAGGGCUCAUUUUUGUCAAGAUCCGCUCAAAUACUGAGUCGAGUAGGCCCAGUCGCACCCACUGGGAGUGAAGUCCUAUUGAAUCCGAAAGCCAAGAACAGUCGAAAUUUUAUUUUUGCCCCAAAAAGUCCACCAAAAGAAGUUUCAGAAGACUCUCAAGAUCCGACCACAAUUCAGAAAAGGAAAUCUGCACCCUUAGUCCGAAGGCUGUGAAGAAACCCAAAUUUGCGGAGGAGAGAAAAACCCAAUAUUAUGAUAGAAAAAGGUUUAUUGGGAACAGUUAGUUUUCGAUUAAAAAUUCAACGGCCCACUUAUCUGAAGGUCUUAGUGGCUUGCAAUUGAUUUUUCUUAUUUCCUUUAAAUUUCCGGAUUGUUUUU